AUGUCCAGAAUAGGAAAAUCCAUAGAGAUAGAAAGUAGCUUAGUGGUUAGGAGAGGCUGAUGGGAAGAGGAGUUGGGGAGUGACUACUAAUGGGUAUGGGGUUUCUUUUGGGGAGGAUGAAAUGUUUUGGAGUUAGGUACUGGUGAUGGUUGCACAAUUUUGUGAAUAAACUAAAACCAAUGAAUUGUAUACUUAAAAAAUACACUAGGUCUAAAAAAAUUAAAUAAGUUUUUCCCCCCAGCCAUUUGCACAUGCUGUUCCCUCUUUCAGGAAUAAUCUCCAUAUCUUUCCCUAUCCCCAAUCCUAUGUUUAAAAAUUGUCUUUCUUUGUCUCCACUAACAAUAUUUGUCUUAAAGCUACUUUUCUGCUGUUGAUAUAGUCCCCCAUGUUUUGGUUACUAUUUGCAUAGUAUAUCUUUUUCCAUCUUUUCACUUUCAAUCUAUUGGUGUCUUUGAAUCUAAAGCAUAUUUCUUGUAAAUUGUUUUAAAAAAUCUUUUCUGCCAAUCUCUGCCUUUUGUUUGGAGUGUUUAAAGCAUUUACACUUAAUGUAAUUACUGACAAGGUGGGAUUUAUGUCUGCCAUUUUGCUACUUGUUUUCUAUACAGCUUUUGUCUUUUUUUUGCUUCACUACUGCCUUCUUUCAUGUUAGAGAUUGUCUGUGGUAUCAUUUUAAUUCUAUAAUUUUGAAAUUAUUUUCUUAGUGGCUGCCUUGGCAUUAUCAUUAGCAUCUUAAUUUAUAAUCUAGUUUGGAAUAACACCAACCUAAUCUCAAUAGCAUGCAAAAACUUUGCUCCUACAUAGCUCUGCUCUGUCCCUCCUUCUUUGUGCUAUUAUUGUCACACAAAUUACAUCAUUAUACAUUAUGUGCAUUAACACAGUUUUAUUGUUAUUGCUUUAUGUACUUGUAUUUUAAAUCGGAAGAGAAAAAAGAAUUACAAACAAAAGAAUGUGUUUACACUAUCUUUUAUAUUCACCUAUGUAGUGGCCUUUACCAGUGCUUUUUAUUUCUUCAUGUGGGUUUGAGUUACUGUCUAGUGUCCUUUCACUUCAGCCUGAAGCAUUCUCUUUAGUGUUUCUUGUAGAGUAGAUCUGCUAGUGACAAAUUUUCUCAGCUUUUUUUUUCUGGGAAUGUCUUAAUUUUUCCUUCAUUUUUGAAGAUAGAUUUGCUGGAUGCAGAAUUCUUAGUUGGCAUUCUGUUUGUUGUUUUUUUUUUUAAACACUUUGUUUCAUCUCAUUGCCUCUGGCCUUCAUGGUGUCUCAUGCCUUCAAACUCAACCAUUCUAAGCCACUGUCCUUGCAGUAAUCAUUACUGCAGUAGUGGCCAAAAUGCAGCAGCCACUUGGCCUCCCAAACACUUAAUUCAUUUAUUAGGCACUUUAUCAAUAAUUUGAUUAACUAUUUGAUGCUAUUCUUUCCCAUGCAUUUCUAGAAUUCCACUUCCCACUGGCAAAAAGCUCAGCGGUGUAUCCAAGUACAAACCAAACCCCAGAUACCCUCUUUCAGAGACUGUGUUUUCUACCACCACUCCUGGUACCAAUUCUUUCCAGUUAGGAGAUAAGAAAAUUCUAAUUGUUUUAACAGAGAGAUUUAAUAUAAAAGUAUUUUAAAGCAGGAACUAGAGAAUUGAAAAGGCAAAGAGGGGAUUCUGCUUUAUCACAGAGGUAGUAAAUGCAAGAAGUGGCAACCAGCUCUACGGCUGGGAGUAAAAAGGGAGGAUGUUAGGAUUAUUAAAAUGUAAAGGUUUGGGAGAGAGCCCAAAGAGCUGGAAUUUAGCUUGGAGAGGGGCCCUUACUUGGCUGGUAUUUCAGCCUUGGACUCAGAGAAUGAACCUCACAGAGCUAGGGGCAAACCUUUGAGAGGGAAAUGCCAGCUGGCUGGUGCUGCUGUUUCUGAGAAUGACUGUAACAAGCUUGAUUCUAGUUGUGUGGGAAAACUGCGAACUGGAACCAAGUGCCACUGCCAGGGUGAAGGACCGUUGCUGUGGUGACACUGACAGGAACAGGAAGCAGACAGGAAGGAGCAAGUCCUUCUUCCUCCAUCAUUCUAGUCUUCCUCUAGAACCUCCUGUGAGCAAAGCCUAACUGGGAACCAGCUGACAUAUAAGAACUGUAGCCUGCAGAGUUGCAGCCCCAGCACUGCAUAGGGCAAAAGGGUGUGUUUGAAGCUGAGAGAUAACAGCUUACUAGCCAGCACACUACCACUUGAUGUUUCCUAUGAUGAUUGAGCGAUUCAGAUUUUCUCCUUCAGUCUAUUUUGGCUGUUUCUUUUGCUAUUUCUCUUUAUAGUUUCUAAAUAACCAUUCGGUAUUACAUCAGCUGCAUGCAAGGAGACCUAAAAUAAAAACAACUUAAACAAGAUAUUUUCUUUCUUUAUCAUCUGAAAGAAGUCCAGAUGUAGGUUGCCUAGGGAUCAAAUGCUGAAUGUUUGUGUCAGGAAAUCAGGCUUUCUAUUUUGUUGCUCUGCAAUUCUCAGCAAAACGUUCUUCAUCGUCAUGGUUCAAGAACCCUGUUUGAACUCCAGUCGUCACGCCCAUUUUCCAGCUAGCAGGAAGGAGAACGGGAAGGAAGAAGACGUGGUCCUCCUUUAAGGGCACCAGAAAUAGCCCAUCCCACCAUCUAGAGCUUAAUCUAUGCCCACACUUGCUUACAAGGGAGGCUGGGAGAUGUUUUUUGAGCAGUCAUGUGUCCAGUUAAAAGUUGGGGACUCUAAGAAAAAAAGGAAUAAAUAUUGGGGAUCACUGUUAGCAUUUGCCACACAGGCAUACAGUGCUAGGGAUCUGCCCGUAUUAUUAAUUUUUGUUUUGCUUUGAAUUUUAAUUUGGUGUUCUUACUCUCAGCUGUGUCUGGUCUCCACCAGUCGAUAGCCCUCACAUUUUCCCCAAACUUCUCCAGACGGUAAACUUCGUUUUCUGCUGAAUUCCUGGAAGGGCCGUCACCUGGUGGUAGAGGUUAAGGGGAGAGGAUAAGGAAGGUGCCUACUCCUCUUAAAAGACUCCAAUAAACUCAUCUGUUUUCAGCUGCACUCCUUACCCUCACCCUUAGAAGAAAUUAGUGCCCCCAACUCCUGAGACUUUCCUGGGUCCUGCAGUAUCAGGAUUUGUUGUUAGCUCUCUGCUGUACCACAGGGGCUUAGCAGAACAGAGAAAGCUAAAACCAAGCCAGCUGGUCAUCUAUUGCUUUCCUUCCAACAGCUGGAUAUUGUUCAUCUGCCAUUAACUCCUCUCGUUGUCUUUGUGGGUUUAUAACUUUUGUUAUUAGCAUGGCGUCGUGGGAGGACACUGACUCUAAAUACUUGACCACACUCCCACAAAACACGAUUUUCAUUCUUACUACUGGGCCAUGAGGAUUUCAGUUAUCUUACAUCUCUUUCUACAAUUGCUAAAGCAGGCAUCAUGAUGGUUGUUGGGACUUCCAUUACCUUCAACCAGUUCAAAUCAAACAAGAAACCUGUGUCCAGGGCUUAUGGCAGUCAGUAGCUCUUUGCUCUCCCAUGAACAUAUCCUUGGCAAACGUAACAGCCACUGUUCAUUGAGUGAUUAUUAUCUAACAGGUAUUGUGUUAAGUACCUUUAAGUAGAUCAUUUCAUUGUAAAUUUCUCAACCACUCCGUGAGGCAGGCAUCAUUUGAUAUUCUAAUUAUUAUUUUACAGAUGCAGAAAACAAGGCUCAGAGGUUGAAUUAUUUGCCCAAUCACACAGCUAGUAGAUGGAUGAGACAUCUUUCUCCAAGACUAUGUUUCAGCUGGAAAAAACAAAGACAAGCUAGAUUACUCAAGACCUGCAACACAAGCAAACACAACAGGAGACUAAACACGCAUCCUUUGGAAGUUUCCCCUCUGCCAAGGGCAAGGCAGGACUGCCUAGUCACAAGGAUUGUGUGGCUUUCCUCCCACUAUUUUUUCAUGGAAGUCUCAUAAGUGAGCUAACUGAGCUGCUGUGUUCCUACUGCCAGGAGACAAUUUCUACCUGGAAUGCCCUCCUGUUGCCUCUGCACUUUCCUGGAAUUUAAGACAUCCUCUGAACCUCAGGUAAAUUUUAUUCCCAACUGAAAUUUUAUCCAAACACUGAAAGCUCUUGAUUCUUUUCUUUAUGUUGUUG